UACGAAGGGGGCUAGCGUUGCUCGGAAUCACUGGGCGUAAAGGGUGCGUAGGCGGGUCUUUAAGUCAGGGGUGAAAUCCUGGAGCUCAACUCCAGAACUGCCUUUGAUACUGAGGAUCUUGAGUUCGGGAGAGGUGAGUGGAACUGCGAGUGUAGAGGUGAAAUUCGUAGAUAUUCGCAAGAACACCAGUGGCGAAGGCGGCUCACUGGCCCGAGUACUGACGCUGAGGCACGAAAGCGUGGGGAGCAAACAGG
rnacentral:rRNA from 1 species